GCUGAUGAUACCACCACCAAGAAAUCAUCACCAUUAAUAUUUUGGCUUUUUUGUUUUCAGAUUUUUUCCAUUAUGAAAUUGUUGAUAUUUGAUCCUUUUGACCUAUAAAAAUGUUAAUAUCAUAUAGCUUACUCAAACAUAUCCAAAUAAUGUCAUAUAUAUUAUUUUAUGUACCAAAAAGCAUACUAAACAGAUUGUUUUAUAGCUUAUUUUUCUCAUUUUUAACAUUAUAAUUUAAGCAUUUGUUCAUAAUAUUAAAACUUUUUGAAAACAUUAUUAUGAAUGACUAUUUCAAUAUGUGGAUGUACCACAACUUACCUAAUGAUUGACCUACUGGUAAUCAUUGAGUUGGACUGGUUGGACAUGAGUUGUUUCUAAUUUGUCGCUAUUACAAAUAAUGCUCUGAUAAAUAUGUAUAAUUAAUUUGUGUUUCAGAUUAUUUUUAUUUCUAGAAAUGAGAUUCUUGGUUAUAGGCUAAAUAUAUUUUCUUGGUUUUUUUUUUUUGUUCAUUUGUUUGUUUGAGAUGGAGUCUCUCUGUCACCUAGACUGGAAUGCAGUGGCAUGAUCUUGGUUCACUGAAACCUCUGCCUUUCUGGUUCAAGCAAUUCUCAUGUUUCAGCCUCCCAAGCAACGUGUUGGACCUUCCUGAGCUUCUCAGAAGACAGAGGAUUUUCUUUUGAGGUAAAUUUGAUAGUGCAUUUUGAUAGUACAGGAGGCGAUACGGCAUGGUGACAGAAAAGCGCCAGCUUGGUUAGCAGGACCACCUGGCAGGGCUGCAGGCUGUGCCACUUACCAGGCAGGGGACUUUGGGCCAGCUGCUUGGCCUCACUCACCCUGUUUCCUCAGCUGCAAUUGGGAUGAAUAGACUGCCUGCUUCGGGGUUGCCUAAAACUCACAUUGGUUAAUGAUGUGAAAUGCUUAGCGCAGUGCCUGGCAUAGAGAGAAUUCUCAUUAGAUGAUACCUCAGCUGGGCUUUAGGAGCUACAGAAGAAGCUGCAUCUCCAUGAGCUCAGCAUGUUUCUAGCUUUCCUUUUUGUUUUCUAUUCAACCUUUCACCCAACUCAGCUUCUCAAUCCCUAAAUGACAAAGGUUUGGGAAGGAAGACUUGGAACGAGGCUUGCAUUUGUUUCUGAGAAUUAAAUGUUAUGUUUUCUUCAAUCUAAAUAGGUUUGCUUGUACAGCCUUGUUCAAUGUUUUUUUUUUUCUUUUUCUCCAUGAUAAAUGACUCUCAACUUCUUUUCCCUCAUUUAAUUGCUUAUCUACAUACAAUGCCUGGAAGGAAAUAAAUGUAAUGGCCCAUAGCAAUUGGCCUUCAGGUAUCAAGUUUAAGUCCCUUUAAGCAGAACAGCAAAUUGAGCACAGAAUGAACUGGUUUCAUGGUAGCGUACUGCAAUUAGAUGCAAGAAUAGGGAAAGCAGGGUGCUUUAAGUGGUGACACAAUUAGUAUAGCACUGGGGGACUUCUCUUUCCACUUCUUCAACUCCGCCUGCAUUCCGCUGGCUGAAGAGUUGAUGACAUCCCUGAAAAAUCUUCCCUCUCUUGUUUCUCUGAUGCCACCUCUGUGUUCUCCGCCUCACUGGCCACACUUCCUUUACCUCCCAAACUUUUAACUCUGAGUGUCCCAAACUUGUCUCAUCACCUACCCCUGCUGCCCAGCUCCCCAGCCUGUUCCCCUUCUGACACGGGCACUCUCCUUCUGCUCUCUUGGGAGAGAAACAAUGAAGACCUAUUUGGCACUUUUAUUUCUAUUCAAGGAACCAGACUGUGAACAAGUUUACCAUUUAGUCCUUUGGACUGUGUCUUGAAUUCAUCCCUCUUCUCCAUUCUCACCAGCACCAUCAUCAUGAUGGCUAAUAUUUCCUGAGCACCUUUCAUCCAGGCAUGAUGCCAGGUGCACCAACUUACUUAAUCCUCACAGCCACCACCUGAGCAAGCUCCUAUUUUAUAAAUGGACCAGUUCUUGUUGCUAUUGUACAAGUUAUUUUCUUUCUAUAACGUCCUCCUUGUCCUCCUUCCACAUUCUUAAAGAAACUUUCCCUUCCUUUAAAGUACUCAGGGAGCCUUGCAUUGCUUCUUGAAGCCUUCUCCAGCUUCAUCAUCUCACAGUGGUCUCUCUUUUCACUAAAUGUCCAAUAUGCUGCACAUAAGUACCCCAAAGUUAGCACAGAAUUGUUCCAUGGCUGUCAUAUAUGUUAAAAAUCAUUAAAAGUUCAUUUUUUCUCCCAUUAUGGGAAGGAUACAUGCUCCUACUAGUAAAUUUAGUAGGUAGAAAAAAAUUAUCACUAUCUAGACUGCUUUCCCUUUAGUCUUUAUGCAUAGCUUUCUGUCUGCCUAUUUUUACCUUGUGUUUGUAACUUACUAUUACAAAAUAUGCAUCUCUAUGUUCAUUGUCAACAUUAUUUACAAUAACAUGGAGUGGAUUUACACGUAUUCUCUAUAUUUGGAUUAAAGGAGAUAGAGUAUGUGAAAUUAAAUGGGAGAAGUAUCUGAUACAUAACAGGCAAUACAAAUAUUAUCACAUAGCCUCAAUUUAUUUGUGAAUAUUGAAAGCUCCAAAAAAGAAAAAAGUUUUUUUUUAAUUGCCGUAAUUACUUAUUGCAGUAUUGUGUUCAUACAAACUGCUCAAUCAUUUUGGAGAAAUAACAAUUUUUUUCCUCAUCAUGAAGUAAGGUAUGCUCACUGCAAAAAAAUCUAGAAAAUAAAGAGGAACAUACUAAAGAAAAGAAUACUCCCAUAUAAUCUCUGUCUUCAUAAAUAAUCUUUUGUAACACUUAUACACUGCUGGUGGGAAUGUAAAUUAGUUCGGCCAUUGUGAAAAGUAGUGUAGCAAUUCCUUGAAAAACUUAAAAUAGAAUUACCGUUCAACCCAGCAAUCCCAUUAUUGGGCAUAUACCCAGUGGAAUGUAAAUCAUCCUGCCAUAAAAACACAUGCACAUGUAUGUUCAUUGCAGCACUAUUCACAAUAGCAAAGACAUGGAAUCAACCUAUAUGCCCAUCAGUAGUAGACUGAAUAAAGAAAAUAUGGUACAUAUUCACCACAGAAUACUAAGCAGCCAUAAAAAAGAAAAAGAUCAUGUCCUUUGCAGCAAUAUGGAUGGAGCUAGAGGCCAUUAUCCUAAGCAAACUAAUGCAGAAACAGAAAACCAGAUACUGCAUGCUCUCACUUAUAAGUGGGAGAUACACCAUGAGAACACAUGAACACAAAAAGCGGAAAAAGAGACACCAUGGCCUACUUGAGGGUGGAGGCUGGGAGGAGGGAGAGAAUCAAAAAACUUCCUACGGAGUACUAUGCUUAUUACCUGCGUGAUGAAAUAAUCACUUUGAACAUGGUCAGUACAUUAUCUUCUAAUCUAGACUCUUUUCUGUGUUCUAUAUGCACACAGAAAUACACAUGCGAAGCUGAACGCAUGUGUGAAACAAAAUUCAGACACUCAAAUUUUCCGCCAAUACGUGAUAAAAUCUUGCACAAUAGCUUCCUCCACAGAGGAAAAUGUCUUUACUACAUCUUAAAAAUGGGGUAAAUGAAUAGUUAGGCUCUUCAGUGUAAUAAUCAUGGUAAAUAUUCUCAAUGUGCGAAAAUACAAACAAAAGACUUUCUCUCCCAGCAAAUUUAGACCCACAUGAAAAUUUAAGCACGAUCAUUUUAAACGAAUUUAUCCUGGAGCUUAGUGGUUCGAGUUCAAGGUUGAGGAGCAGUCUGGGGACAUCAGCUCUUAAUAUUUUUCAAGUUUUGGAGCAAGUGGUUUCUAGGUUCUGAGUGAAGUGAAACAGAAUCUCUAGGGGCAUGUGGUAAAGAUAAUCCCAUACUAUGUACUGCGUAGAGUUAAAGAGAAGAGGCGAGAGCAUGAAGAUAAACCAGUACAAUCAGUCGUUCACAUACCACUAACUACAAUGAUACUCCCGUUUGCUUCCUGUGAAGUAGUUACUAAUAAUCACUGAUGUCGCUUUUUAAUUUCAUACAUCCUUUAACUAUCUUCAUAUAGGUAUUGAAAGAGUCAACAUAAAAGCCACAUCCAUUUUCUAAUUUUGAACAAUAGUUAGAGAAACCUAAUAUCUUCUCAUAUUUUUGUCUUGCUUCUGUCUCAUGAGUUCCCAAAAUAGAUAUAUUAUCUGAAUGAAGAGUUCAUGGGCAAAUGUCACACUUUUCUUGGUUUGGCUAAUUAUAUUUCUGCUUUUGCUUAGAAUAAGAUUAAUUUUCCUAUUCUGCUAAUAAACCACGUGAUGGCAAAAUGCCUUAUUCUGA
rnacentral:antisense_RNA from 1 species